AAACUGCGGUGUCUUGGAAUGAAGGUUGGUCAGAGAAAGACACGGGAAAUACCAGGUAUAGGAUCAUGCCUGUUUCUCCUACAUCUUCUAUGACAUCAUCAAUAUGACCUCUAAGAGGAAAGCAAUGCUUUGAUUUAGGGUCUCACACACACAGGAAAAUUGCUCCCCCAAAGCAGUGGUCCUCUUUGUACCUGCUCACUGCCCCCCGAAAAAUGGCUUCUACUCUCAAAGCUGGCAAUGGUUUCCUCACCAGGUGGAUAUCCUUUCCAAAGUGAAAAUAUGCAGGGUGCCGUGGCUCACACCUGUAAUCCCAGUGGCUCAGGAGGCUGAGGCAGGAGGAUCCGGAGUUCAAAGCCAGCCUUUUCCCAGUUGUGGGCUGUCAGCCUCAGACCUUCCAUUUGCCGGGCUCUGCUCUCAGCGAGCAGGAUGCUGGCCAGGCCUUGGCUUAGCUCUGUCCUGCUCUUGCGGCUCAGAGUGUGCUUCUGAAAAUGCAGAUUUACCCCAGGUGAGGCACAGCCCUGAGAGUGCGGCGGGCAGAAGCCAGCUGGUCUCUGGCCAGGAGUUCCGAGGAGGAAAUUCCUGCUUUGGUUGGGGAACUGGCUAAGUGGCCUCUAGGAUCUCUUCCAACUCUGAGGUCUCGUUUGCAUGAGUUGAGGUUGCUGUUGUUUAUUUAAAUGGAGAUCCCAGAUGGUGCAUCUCCCUCCAAUGUUGAAGGACGGUUCUAAAAGUCGAUUUGACAGCUCCUACUCUUCUUUUUAAAAUGGAGCCUUACGUUGCUCAGUCUAUGGGCAAGCAGAAGCCCGGGGCUCAGCAUGUGACCGAAAAAAUAUAGAACACAACUUUACCGCCCAAAGGCAAGAAGUAGAUGAAGCUUGCUUUCACCUCUGCCCUCGCUCCUCCUCACUCUGUUCACCUCCGAGGGGCAGCAGCCUCAGGGCCCCCAUGUCGCAGCCCCCACUGCACCCCCAGCUGCAAUAAUUUAUUCACAGGCCCCUGUUUCCUAAU
rnacentral:lncRNA from 1 species